GAUGAACGCUGGCGGCGUGCCUAAUACAUGCAAGUCGAGCGAACGGACGAGAAGCUUGCUUCUCUGAUGUUAGCGGCGGACGGGUGAGUAACACGUGGAUAACCUACCUAUAAGACUGGGAUAACUUCGGGAAACCGUAGCUAAUACCGGAUAAUAUUUUGAACCGCAUGGUUCAAAAGUGAAAGACGGUCUUGCUGUCACUUAUAGAUGGAUCCGCGCUGCAUUAGCUAGUUGGUAAGGUAACGGCUUACCAAGGCAACGAUGCAUAGCCGACCUGAGAGGGUGAUCGGCCACACUGGAACUGAGACACGGUCCAGACUCCUACGGGAGGCAGCAGUAGGGAAUCUUCCGCAAUGGGCGAAAGCCUGACGGAGCAACGCCGCGUGGGUGAUGAAGGUCUUCGGAUCGUAAAACUCUGUUAUUAGGGAAGAACAUAUGUGUAAGUAACUGUACACAUCUUGACGGUACCUAAUCAGAAAGCCACGGCUAACUACGUG
rnacentral:rRNA from 1 species